rnacentral:lncRNA from 1 species
GAGGAAACACUCUUCCACUUGGUUUCUUUACGUCUGCAAGAGGGCCGAGCACACGGGCUCCGGCAUCAGGGGCCCUGGUACCUUUCAGCCGCGGCCGGUCUCACGGCCUCUGGACCCUGAGAGUCGUGGGCGUUCAGGGCCGACUCUGGCUUUUGGCCUCAGAGUACAGUCCUCCGCCUCCUCGCGACCCAGCGAGGCCACCGGAGCCAGCGAGGAGACGUGGGCCGCGGUGAGAAGAGAGAGCACCCGGCUCGUGUCAGGGCUGUAAGGUAGCUGCCGCUUACUCCCGGAAACCGGUGGCCAGUGACAGAUGCUAGCGGUCCAUAACUUCGGCUUUCAUGCAGCUCCCGUCGUCCCUUUCAU